rnacentral:rRNA from 1 species
UACAGAGGGGGCAAGCGUUGUUCGGAAUUACUGGGCGUAAAGGGCGCGUAGGCGGCCUUCUAAGUCGAACGUGAAAUCCCCGGGCUCAACCCGGGAACUGCGUCCGAUACUGGAAGGCUUGAAUCCGGGAGAGGGAUGUGGAAUUCCAGGUGUAGCGGUGAAAUGCGUAGAUAUUCGGAAGAACACCAGUGGCGAAGGCGGACUCACUGGACCGUUGAUGACGCUGAGGUACGAAAGCGUGGGGAGCAAACAGGG